rnacentral:misc_RNA from 1 species
GAUGAAGAACGUAGCGAAAUGCGAUAAGUAGUGUGAAUUGCAGAAUUCAGUGAAUCAUCGAAUCUUUGAACGCACAUUGCGCCCUUUGGUAUUCCAAAGGGCAUGCCUGUUCGAGCGUCAUUUGUACCCUCAAGCUUUGCUUGGUGUUGGGCGUCUUGUCUCUAGCUUUGCUGGAGACUCGCCUUAAAGUAAUUGGCAGCCGGCCUACUGGUUUCGGAGCGCAGCACAAGUCGCACUCUCUAUCAGCAAAGGUCUAGCAUCCAUUAAGCCUUUUUUUCAACUUUUGACCUCGGAUCAGGUAGGACUACCCGCUGAACUUAAGCAUAUCAAUAAGCGGAGGA